GACGAACGCUGGCGGCGUGCUUAACACAUGCAAGUCGAACGGAAAGGCCCUGCUUUUGUGGGGUGCUCGAGUGGCGAACGGGUGAGUAACACGUGAGUAACCUGCCCUUGACUUUGGGAUAACUUCAGGAAACUGGGGCUAAUACCGGAUAGGAGCUCCUGCUGCAUGGUGGGGGUUGGAAAGUUUCGGCGGUUGGGGAUGGACUCGCGGGUUAUCAGCUUGUUGGUGGGGUAGUGGCUUACCAAGGCUUUGACGGGUAGCCGGCCUGAGAGGGUGGCCAGGCACAUUGGUACUGAGGGACGGCCCAGUCGCCUACGGGGGGCAGCAGUGGGGAAUAUUACACAACGGGGGGAAGCCUGAUGCAGAAACGCCGCGUGCGGGAUGACGGCCUUCGGGGUGUAAACCGCUUUCGCCUGUGACGAAGCGUGAGUGACGGUAAUGGGUAAAGAAGCACCGGCUAACUACGUG
rnacentral:rRNA from 1 species